GAGGUGGGAAGAUUGCUUGAGUCCAGGAGGUUGAGGCUGCAGUGAGUCAUGAUCAUGCCACUGCACUCCAGCCUGAGUGACAGAGCAAGACCACUGUCUC
ensembl:miRNA